rnacentral:rRNA from 1 species
UAAAACUGCGAAUGGCUCAUUAAAACAGUUAUAGUUUAUUUGAUACAACAAAUGGAUAACUGUAGAAAAACUAGAGCUAAUACAUGCCGAAGCCGCAAGGUUGUAUUUAUUAGAUAUACCCAGUAGGGGAUUCAUAAUAACUAUGCAAAUCGUAACUUUGUUACGAUAAAUCAUUCAAGUUUCUGCCCUAUCAGCUUUCGAUGGUAGUGUAUUGGACUACCAUGGCUUUCACGGGUAACGGAGAAUUAGGGUUCGAUUCCGGAGAAGGAGCCUGAGAAACGGCUACUACAUCUAAGGAAGGCAGCAGGCGCGUAAAUUACCCAAUCCUGACUCAGGGAGGUAGUGACAAGAUAUAACG